rnacentral:rRNA from 1 species
GGUUAAGCGACUAAGCGUACACGGUGGAUGCCCUGGCAGUCAGAGGCGAUGAAGGACGUGCUAAUCUGCGAAAAGCGUCGGUAAGGUGAUAUGAACCGUUAUAACCGGCGAUGUCCGAAUGGGGAAACCCAGUGCAAUUCGUUGCACUAUCGUUAACUGAAUACAUAGGUUAACGAGGCGAACCGGGGGAACUGAAACAUCUAAGUACCCCGAGGAAAAGAAAUCAACCGAGAUUCCCCCAGUAGCGGCGAGCGAACGGGGAGCAGCCCAGAGUCUGAAUCAGCUUGUGUGUUAGUGGAACGGUCUGGAAAGUCCGACGGUACAGGGUGAUAGUCCCGUACACCAAAAUGCACAGGUUGUGAACUCGAAGAGUAGGGCGGGACACGUGGUAUCCUGUCUGAAUAUGGGGGGACCAUCCUCCAAGGCUAAAUACUCCUGACUGACCGAUAGUGAACCAGUACCGUGAGGGAAAGGCGAAAAGAACCCCGGCGAGGGGAGUGAAAAAGAACCUGAAACCGUGUACGUACAAGCAGUGGGAGCACCUUCGGGUGUGACUGCGUACCUUUUGUAUAAUGGGUCAGCGACUUAUAUUCUGUAGCAAGGUUAACCGUAUAGGGGAGCCGCAGGGAAACCGAGUCUUAACUGGGCGUUAAGUUGCAGGGUAUAGACCCGAAACCCGGUGAUCUAGCCAUGGGCAGGUUGAAGGUUGGGUAACACUAACUGGAGGACCGAACCGACUAAUGUUGAAAAAUUAGCGGAUGACUUGUGGCUGGGGGUGAAAGGCCAAUCAAACCGGGAGAUAGCUGGUUCUCCCCGAAAGCUAUUUAGGUAGCGCCUCGUGAACUCAUCUUCGGGGGUAGAGCACUGUUUCGGCUAGGGGGUCAUCCCGACUUACCAACCCGAUGCAAACUACGAAUACCGAAGAAUGUUAUCACGGGAGACACACGGCGGGUGCUAACGUCCGUCGUGAAGAGGGAAACAACCCAGACCGCCAGCUAAGGUCCCAAAGUCACAGUUAAGUGGGAAACGAUGUGGGAAGGCACAGACAGCCAGGAUGUUGGCUUAGAAGCAGCCAUCAUUUAAAGAAAGCGUAAUAGCUCACUGGUCGAGUCGGCCUGCGCGGAAGAUGUAACGGGGCUAAACUGUGCACCGAAGCUGCGGCAGCGACACUAUGUGUUGUUGGGUAGGGGAGCGUUCUGUAAGCCUGCGAAGGUGGCCUGUGAGGGUUGCUGGAGGUAUCAGAAGUGCGAAUGCUGACAUAAGUAACGAUAAUGCGGGUGAAAAGCCCGCACGCCGGAAGACCAAGGGUUCCUGUCCAACGUUAAUCGGGGCAGGGUGAGUCGACCCCUAAGGCGAGGCCGAAAGGCGUAGUCGAUGGGAAACAGGUUAAUAUUCCUGUACUUGGUGUUACUGCGAAGGGGGGACGGAGAAGGCUAUGUUAGCCGGGCGACGGUUGUCCCGGUUUAAGCAUGUAGGCGGAGGUUCCAGGUAAAUCCGGUACCUUUUAACGCUGAGGUGUGAUGACGAGGCACUACGGUGCUGAAGUAACAAAUGCCCUGCUUCCAGGAAAAGCCUCUAAGCAUCAGGUAACAUUAAAUCGUACCCCAAACCGACACAGGUGGUCAGGUAGAGAAUACCAAGGCGCUUGAGAGAACUCGGGUGAAGGAACUAGGCAAAAUGGUGCCGUAACUUCGGGAGAAGGCACGCUGAUAUGUAGGUGAAGCCCCUGCGGGUGGAGCUGAAAUCAGUCGAAGAUACCAGCUGGCUGCAACUGUUUAUUAAAAACACAGCACUGUGCAAACACGAAAGUGGACGUAUACGGUGUGACGCCUGCCCGGUGCCGGAAGGUUAAUUGAUGGGGUUAUCCGUAAGGAGAAGCUCUUGAUCGAAGCCCCGGUAAACGGCGGCCGUAACUAUAACGGUCCUAAGGUAGCGAAAUUCCUUGUCGGGUAAGUUCCGACCUGCACGAAUGGCGUAAUGAUGGCCAGGCUGUCUCCACCCGAGACUCAGUGAAAUUGAACUCGCUGUGAAGAUGCAGUGUACCCGCGGCAAGACGGAAAGACCCCGUGAACCUUUACUAUAGCUUGACACUGAACAUUGAGCCUUGAUGUGUAGGAUAGGUGGGAGGCUUUGAAGCGUGGACGCCAGUCUGCGUGGAGCCAACCUUGAAAUACCACCCUUUAAUGUUUGAUGUUCUAACGUUGGCCCCUGACCGGGGUUGCGGACAGUGUCUGGUGGGUAGUUUGACUGGGGCGGUCUCCUCCCAAAGAGUAACGGAGGAGCACGAAGGUUAGCUAAUCCUGGUCGGACAUCAGGAGGUUAGUGCAAUGGCAUAAGCUAGCUUGACUGCGAGCGUGACGGCGCGAGCAGGUGCGAAAGCAGGUCAUAGUGAUCCGGUGGUUCUGAAUGGAAGGGCCAUCGCUCAACGGAUAAAAGGUACUCCGGGGAUAACAGGCUGAUACCGCCCAAGAGUUCAUAUCGACGGCGGUGUUUGGCACCUCGAUGUCGGCUCAUCACAUCCUGGGGCUGAAGUAGGUCCCAAGGGUAUGGCUGUUCGCCAUUUAAAGUGGUACGCGAGCUGGGUUUAGAACGUCGUGAGACAGUUCGGUCCCUAUCUGCCGUGGGCGCUGGAGAAUUGAGGGGGGCUGCUCCUAGUACGAGAGGACCGGAGUGGACGCAUCACUGGUGUUCGGGUUGUCAUGCCAAUGGCAUUGCCCGGUAGCUAAAUGCGGAAGAGAUAAGUGCUGAAAGCAUCUAAGCACGAAACUUGCCCCGAGAUGAGUUCUCCCUGAGACUUUAAGUCUCCUGAAGGAACGUUAAAGACGAUGACGUUGAUAGGUCGGGUGUGUAAGCGUAGCGAUACGUUGAGCUAACCGAUACUAAUGAACCGUGAGGCUUAACCUU